UACAGAGGUCCCAAGCGUUGUUCGGAUUCACUGGGCGUAAAGGGUGCGUAGGUGGCCGGGAAAGUCUGAUGUGAAAUCUCCGAGCUCAACUCGGAAACUGCAUUGGAAACUAAACGGCUAGAGGAUCGGAGGGGGGACUGGAAUUCUCGGUGUAGCAGUGAAAUGCGUAGAUAUCGAGAGGAACACCAGUGGCGAAGGCGAGUCCCUGGACGAUCCCUGACACUGAGGCACGAAAGCUAGGGGAGCAAACAGG
rnacentral:misc_RNA from 1 species